CAACAACGGGCUGUCAGCAUGACGCUGAUCAAGUCUACGCUUCUAAUUUAGGGGUAGGCUUGGUCAUUUUUUUACUUUACUGUUCUGUUUACUUUCAGUUUGUGAACACGUCUGAACGUAUCUGGACGCUAAAAAGCGCAGAGCCCGGGAUCUCCAUGUGCGAAUUCAUUGAAAUGCGCCAUAUAAACCAACAAUUCAUAAUUUAUAACACAACCUUCUUCCGUGGUAUGGUAAGGCAUAGCACUCGCCAGCGGGGAGACUUUCUUGCACGAGAGCCGCAUCGAAUGCACGUCACUACCCUGAGCAGCUGGGGUACUUAUUAUGACCUCCGAGUUAGAAAUUCUUCAAUUGAAUCAAGAAAUCACGGCUGCAAGAGACACUUCAAUCGGGUUGCAUAUUAUGGAAGAAAAGUUUACCGCCCAGAGUGCCAGCAGCUAAUAAAGUUUGGAGUUUGAAUGC
rnacentral:lncRNA from 1 species